GACGAACGCUGGCGGCGUGCUUAACACAUGCAAGUCGAACGGAAAGGCCCUGCUUUUGUGGGGUGCUCGAGUGGAGAACGGGUGAGUAACACGUGAGUAACCUGCCCUUGACUUUGGGAUAACUUCAGGAAACUGGGGCUAAUACCGGAUAGGAGCUCCUGCUGCAUGGUGGGGGUUGGAAAGUUUCGGCGGUUGGGGAUGGACUCGCGGCUUAUCAGCUUGUUGGUGGGGUAGUGGCUUACCAAGGCUUUGACGGGUAGCCGGCCUGAGAGGGUGACCGGCCACAUUGGGACUGAGAUACGGCCCAGACUCCUACGGGAGGCAGAAGUGGGGAAUAUUGCACAAUGGGCGGAAGCCUGAUGCAGCAACGCCGCGUGCGGGAUGACGGCCUUCGGGUUGUAAACCGCUUUCGCCUGUGACGAAGCGUGAGUGACGGUAAUGGGUAAAGAAGCACCGGCUAACUACGUG
rnacentral:rRNA from 1 species